GAUGAACGCUAGCGGCAGGCCUAAUACAUGCGAGUCGGACGGGAUUGAGAAGCUUGCUUUUCAUGAGAGUGGCGCACGGGCGCGUAACACGUAUGUAACCUACCUUAAUAAGGGGGAUAGCCUCUAGAAAGAGAGAUUAACAUCGCAUAAAAUCAAUUUAUGGCAUCAUAGAAUGAUCAAAUAUUUAUAGGAUUAAGAUGGGCAUGCGGAAAAUUAGCUAGGUGGUAAGGUAACGGCUUACCAAGGCUACGAUGUUUAGGGGGUCUGAGAGAAGGACCACCGCCACUGUGACUGAAACACGGACCAGACGCCUACGGGAGGCAGCAGUAAGGAAUAUUGGUCAAUCGGCGCAAGCCUGAACCAGCCAUGCCGCGUGCAGGAAGACUGCCCUACGGGUUGUAAACUGCUUUUGUACCGGAAUAAACCUUUGUAUGUAGACGAAGCUGAAUGUACGGUAAGAAGAAGGAUCGUCUAACUCCGUGCCAGCAGCCGCCGUAA
rnacentral:rRNA from 1 species